CCAGACUCCUACGGGAGGCAGCAGUGGGGAAUAUUGCGCAAUGGGCGAAAGCCUGACGCAGCGACGCCGCGUGAGGGAUGAAGGUUUUCGGAUCGUAAACCUCUGUCAGAAGGGAAGAAAGUGCGUGGUGCUAAUCAGCCGCGUAUUGACGGUACCUUCAAAGGAAGCACCGGCUAACUCCGUGCCAGCAGCCGCGGUAAUACGGAGGGUGCGAGCGUUAAUCGGAAUUACUGGGCGUAAAGCGCACGUAGGCUGUUGUGUAAGUCAGGGGUGAAAUCCCACGGCUCAACCGUGGAACUGCCCUUGAUACUGCAUGACUGGAAUCCGGGAGAGGGUGGCGGAAUUCCAGGUGUAGGAGUGAAAUCCGUAGAUAUCUGGAGGAACAUCAGUGGCGAAGGCGGCCACCUGGACCGGUAUUGACGCUGAGGUGCGAAAGCGUGGGGAGCAAACAGGAUUAGAUACCCCAGUA
rnacentral:rRNA from 1 species